GUCCACGCCGUAAACGAUGGGUGCUAGGUGUGGGAGGUGUCGACUCCUCCUGUGCCGAAGCUAACGCAUUAAGCACCCCGCCUGGGGAGUACGGCCGCAAGGCUAAAAACUCAAAGGAAUUGACGGGGGCCCGCACAAGCAGCGGAGCAUGUGGUUUAAUUCGACGCAACGCGAAGAACCUUACCAAGGCUUGACAUGUACGGGAAUGUCGUGGAAACACGGCAGCCCUUCGGGGCUCGUGCACAGGUGGUGCAUGGCUGUCGU
rnacentral:rRNA from 1 species